rnacentral:ribozyme from 1 species
UGCCCAGCAACUCCUAUCCCUACCUCCUCGUGGUACUGGCCGGGGUACGAGUAACCUUGGGGAAGAUCGGGUAAUCAACCCCGGUGGGAACUUUGGUCGUAUGCUGACAGGGAAGG